rnacentral:lncRNA from 1 species
CAGCCACACAAAAUGCUCCUCCUUCUCUCUAGUCUCUCUAUCUCUGUCUCUCUUCCCCUCUCAUAAACCAUGGCUGCCACCUCCACUGGCCGGUGAAGUCCGGAGCACCAUCCGUCACCUCCCUUCCUCCUCUCCGACGAACACCAUCGCCGCCGCCGCUGCCGCCCUUUGAUUUUCCGGCGAAUAACCAACUAUGUGAAGCCACCGCCGAACCAGCAACCUCCUUCCCCAUCGCGGCUCCAUAUCCAGCUACCACUGCACUAAGCCGCUCAACCGCGCCACCAGAAGCCCUCAAAAACCUCCAGCCCACCGCUGCCUCUCCCAACCUCGCCGGCGAAGGCUCCAAUGAGCCAAUCAGCCCUCUCAUCUCCAUGUCGAUGCUCGAUUUUCGCCGAAAAUAUUGUAUUUCAUGAUGGAUUCAUCAAAUCCGUCUCAGGUUUGUUAUUUUGUUCAAAUUUCUUUCUUCUACUUCUUUAUUUAUUUUCUCUUCUGAUAGAUCUUAUUAGACUUAAAUUGAUCAUGAAUUUUGAGUUGUUUUAAUGUGUUCAUGUUUGCAGACCAACAUCCGUGAAAAAUGCAUAACUUUUGUGGAUUUUAAGCAAACAGUCAUAACUUUGAUUACGAAAGUUUGAUUUAGUUGAUUGAGUUAUUCACAUGAUUAAAUUAUUAGAGUUAUCCUGUUGGUAUGUUGUGAAUUUUGCCCAUCUUUGUGUCUUUGUGUUGUUACUUUGAUAGCAGGUGUUCUUUGAUAUGACUAUGGACUGAUUCAGAUACAAUUAGCAUAGCGUUACUAGGUGUAAAUUGCGUGACUUUUGAUAAAGGGUUUGACACUAGUUGAUUCACUCCUAAUUGGAAUAACCUUGAUGCCUAGUUAAUUUUGGUAGAUUAUAAAUUUUUUCCCCUUCCCUUCAUAUGACACUUUUGUUACUUGAAUAGGUACGGUAAAUACAUAAUUGGUGCUUUUCAUUGAAAUAUAAUUGAUAUAUAAUUGAUUUGCUUAAUUGACAUUUUACUUUUUUUUUUUUUGACUGAAUUGGGUAUUUUAAGUGUGAUUUUAUAUAUAUGAAAAACUCCCUUGAUUGACUUCAUCCAAUAUUCCCCUCUUCCUUAAUUGAUUCUGACUGAUUUUUGAAUAUCUCUUUGCCCUUUUCUGUUGUGGCUAAUUGACUCUGACAUAUUGCCUUUUUUUUGGACUCUUUAUCCUCUCACUAUAUAAACAGACCCUCUUCCUUAAUUGAUUCUGACUGAUUUUUGAAUAUCUCUUUUCCUUUUCUGUUGUGGCUAAUUGACUCUGACAUAUUGUCUUUUCUGUUGACUCUUUAUCCUCUCACUAUAUAAACAGACCCUCUUUUCAAUUAGAGGACAACAAUCAUAUUCCACUUUCUCUGCUUUUACUCUCUGAAACAUAAAGAACUACUAGCUAUUCUAAUAGAAAAAAAAUACAUAUUUCUCAAGCUGUGUGGCGUUUCUUGUUGAGUUUUAUGGAAGUAUUCUGUAUCUCACCAUUGGGAGUGCUUUACUUCAACAUCCUUCUAAUUAUUUAUUUUAUCUACUGCUCACUAAUAAGUUCUCAAAUCGAUGUAAUCUUUUUUUAUUAUUUUUUGUUUAUGUUGAUUGCAUCAUGUUAAAACCUUUAGAAAGCAUGUCUAUAGGAAUAUUUCAAUAUUAGAUGCUCUUGUUUUCUUGCUAUUAUAUCUUGUCUCGCAGGUUUAAAUAGAUAAUUAUGGAGUUUCAAAAAGUCGUCGGAAUGUUUAAACUGAAUAUGUUGUUCUUUAUAGCUAGUUGUUUUUCUUUCUUCUUAUUUUAUAUUAUUUGGUCUGUAAUAUUACUGUAAAGAUAUUAUUAUUGUAAUGAUAAUUUUAGAGAUUGCUUGGGGCAGGAACUUACGUGCUCUAUGAAUAGUAUAGAUAGGCACAACUUAGAUUUUAUGUUUGUUACAUGCUACGUGAAUUAUUUAGGCACAUAACAUUAGGAUUUAUUAACACAUGAAUCGUUUAGACACUUUUAUUAAUUGAUUCGCUUAGAAAUCUUUCUCCCGACAUAUUAAAUUGAGUUUAUGCAUGCUAAUACCUCUUUUGACAUCUCCACAUUGAGUUUAAGCAUGGUAACAUUUUUAGUACAUUGGCCUACUACAUUAAAUGUUUGCAUGUUAAACACUGCAAUUUAUUAACUUCGCAUUGCAUGUUUUGGCGUGUUAAUACAAUUUAGGCAUAUUAAAACAAGUUUGAGCAUGUUAAUAUUGUGAGCAUGUCAAUAAUUAAUUUUUGCAUAUUAAUACACUUUUAGCAUGUUUAGACACUCAGAUUAAGUAUAUCAUUUCGUAGUAUAUCAUUUCGUGUUUUCGACAUGUAAACAAUAUUUAAGCAUGAUAAUAUGGUAUGCAUGUUAACAAUUAAUUGUAUGCAUAUUAAUGAAUUUUUCAACACGUUAAAAGAUGUCAAAAACUGGAAUUAAUUAUGUUGUCGCAUAUUUUAGCAUAUAAAUACAAAUCUAAGCUGCUAACGUUUUUUAGAGCAUGUUAACAUUAAACUUCUACCCGUUAAUAUAUUUCGACAUGCCAAAGUAGUAUAGUUCAUGCGUGUUAAAACAAUUAAGUUUCGGCAUGUUAAAAUAGUAGAUUUUAGACAUUUUCAGCAUGUUAUUGCAUUUUCCAGCAUAUUAACAUGAAAUUUCUGCACCAUUAGCAUAAUUUUUAGCAUGUUAAGCAUUAAAUUUUAGGCAUUUUCAGCAUGUUAUUGCAAUUUAAGCAUGUCAACAUGAAUUUUCUGCGCACUAAUACAAUUGCCAAUAUGUUAAAAUGUAGGUUGUUGAGCAUUUUCAACAUGUUAAACACUAGAUUAAGUAGCCUUAGCAUGUUAAUGUAUUUUCAAUAUUUGUUAAUUUCUUACUCUCAUUAGUUUAUAACACUUGCACAAUGAAAGUCGUGAGCAUAACUUCUUGACAUAUUUACCGCACUUUGACAUCCUCUUUCAAUAAUUUGACAACACAUUGUUACAGACCCUCUCUCUUUAAAAAUCCCAAAAAGAGUGGUUAUGUCAAAUUUUGCUUUUCGCAAGAAAAAAUGGGGCGCGACAGAAUGACGACUCUACUGGGGAUCUUAGGUUCUAACCAUUACGAAUUUGUGCUUUACGUGGGAUUCCCUCCAUUUGUUUUGAUAAUGUUUGACAUCCUGAUUUAUUUUUUAUCUGUUCUUCUUUUAUCAUUUACUUACACCAUGAUUUAUUAGUCCUUUCUCCUUUUCCCUUUUUAUGUGUUUUUAUAUGUCUCCAUAUCUAUCCCAUUUCCUUUUUCCCUUUUUAUUGUUUAUGCGUUAUCAUGUUCAUCUAUAUGCAUGUUAUAUUUCACUAUGUGCUAUGUGUUACUGCUUUUAUAUAACUGGCCUUCUGCUCAUACUUUCCUCCAAUUGGAACUCUUUUUACGAAUGGUUGCGUAGGUACACAGACGUUCUUUCCUAAACACCAUAUGGGAAAUGCCUUGUGGAUCAAUCGAUCAGCGGUGCGUAACAGUCACAAACUUUCCCACUCGAGGGAACCAUGUUAUAAACCGACUCUUUUCCUUUAGGUCUUGGCUACAUAUUUCUUUUAUUAAGGAAUAUGCAUCCCAUUCAACGUCGGAUGUCUUGGCAUCCUUGACGCAUUGAAUGUUAGUCUCAUUCAAAGUCCAAAGAGUUUCAUGAUCUCAAAGGGACUCACAAUUAUUUGCUAUGUGUUGCAUUUCUAUGUAUGUAUUUAUAUCUUGCCUAUUUUGUUGUUUCCGUUCUUGCUUUAGUCACUCCUUACUUUUAGUAUUCCUCACUUUAGAACUCUUUACUUUUAUAAUUCUUGUCAUGUUAGGACCCUACAAGGCACUCUUAGGGCCUAUUCAAAAUCCUCUAAUUCAUCCCUACUUGCCAUUCAACUUCUACAACCCUCAAAAUUCUGAACUACGUCCGACCUGAUUCUUGUUUAAACAAGAUAAGUAGGCAAUCCUUUACGAGGGUACGGUCUUUCUUUUCCCUUUCUUUUACAAAACAUCCUAAUAUUUGAAAAUGCGAAACAAACUUAUUCAUUCAAAUAGUUUUUCUAUGAAAACAUAUUCUCCAUUUCUUUCACCUUUCCAUAAUGUCAUAAGGGUGAAACUUAGAAGCUUUUCUCUGAAUCAUUCCAACAACUUUUCACAAUUUUUUUAACUCUCAGACAUUUCGAACUAAAUAUUUUAAAAUUUUCAAAACUUUUCAAAUCUUUAAUUCUCCCAUCCAGUCCAAAACAAUUUCUUUAAACACUUUAUGUGCAUCUUUUAAAUAGCUUAUCGUUAUCAGUUUUAAGUACAAACUUAGUACCUAAGUCUUGAGUGGAGCCUAUCUUCUACUUUUGAUGUCAAAUCAUUUCUGAAGCUUAAGUUCUAACCCACCUAUUCUCCCUGAAGUCCUCCUUGACAAAAUGACUCAUAUUAUCGUACUGUAUAUUUUCUUAUUGGAUCCACUCGCUCCUAUUUUGUUCAAAUUGCUAUUUUAUCAAACAUCGGCUCAUUUGAAAAUCUGCGAUAUGACAAAUAUGCUCAAUAUUUCAAAAAAUUUCAUCAUUUUCUUCUUGUCCAAGGCGAUACACUGCUUGAAUUGUAUCUCUUUAUUCUCACCCUAUCCCUACCAACAACAAAUAUUUAGGUUAUGUUUCUUGUGAUUGUGAUAAAGUAAUCCGAACCAAAGAUUGAGCAAAUGAGGUUAGAAAUUCCUAAUUCCAAGCUUCUAUGCGUCAGACUUGGAUUAUAAUAUCAUAAGUCACAUAUAUUUGUCAUCCUCAACCUACCUCGGACUUAAUAAGGCUUCAUACAUUAUAGAACAUUUUAUUCUUGCAUAUUAACAUGUUUAAUUUUUCACUAUAUAUCAUAUUCACCUUACUAACUUGACUUUUUUUUCUUUUUUUCUUUUUUUUUUUUAAUUUUAUUUAUUUUUUUCUCCCACGCCCAAAGGAUUGAUUCGUGCAUUCUUUCGCCCAUCAAGGCUCGGUCUCCUUCUCUUAAAGCUUAGUCACCAAGAUAGAAAAAUCGGUGAUAACAAUGAUACUAGAAAUGAGCAUAAUGAGAUGAUCUUACAAAUGGAAGAAAGAAUCCUUGAACUGGAAGGGAAAUUGUCACAAGUCCAUAACUUAUCUAAUCUACCGUUGCUUUGAAUGCUCCUCUCGAACCAUAAGUUGAGGGUACCACCACUAUUGAAUCCCAUCCCACCUUCACAAGUCAUCCCGUACCAUCACUUCCUAUUUCACUACCCUAAACAAUUCAAGUCAUGUAUACACGUUUCCUAAACAUAACCCAUAUCCACAUCCUUGCAUACCAUAAUACCACACUUAUCCAGCUCCACUAAAUUCGCAAACAACAUCAUAUGUCCACAAUAUGCUGCCCAUAGAUACCACAAAUAUGCCUAAUUUUCAUAAUCCAAGUAGUUAUACUUUAAUUCAAGUUAUGUCAAAACGACUCCAUUCACCCACCACCACUAUAAAUUCAAACCUCCAAAAAAUGCAGCCCUUAUACAAUCUGUAGUUGAAAGAUUGGAACAACUUGAAGGCAAUAAGUGGUUGAAAGGGCUAAGUUAUGAGGACCUAUGCAUGCACCCUGACAUUGAACUGUUGAAGGGGUACAAACCUCCUAAAUUUGAAUUGUAUAAUGGGACUAGAGAUCCGAAAGUCUAUUUGAAACUAUAUUGCGACAAGCUAGUAGGAGUUGGUAAAAAUGAGCAGAUUCUUAUACAGUUAUUCAUGAAGAGUCUCACUGGAGAUGCUUUGUUAUGGUAUGUCACAUAAGAUGCAACAAAAUGGUCAAAAUGGACCGACGUGGCCUCUGCUUUUAUAGAAAGAUUUGGUUUUAAUGUCGAGAAUGCGCUUGAUUAGUUCUACAUUCAGAAGUUAAAGAAGAAACCUACAAAAUCAUUCCGAGAAUAUGGAAUGAGAUAGAUACAUAAAGCUUUCAAAGUGCGCCCUCCUUUAGAUGAAAAUCAAAUGAAGGAAUUUUUCAUUCACGCCCAAGAGCCAUAGUAUUAUGAAAGGAUGAUGCUUAUAGACGAUCGAAAGCUUAUUGACAUCAUUAAAUUAGGUGAGAGAAUUGAAGAAGGUAUUAAAAAGGACAUGAUAAUGAAUUUGGAAGCGUUGCAAGCGAUUAAGACUUCAAAGGCCGAUGAGAAUAAUGACAUGAAGGAAGUAAAUGUUGUCUUGACUACGCAAGAUCCUAAAACCCCUCUGGUUUACCCAACUCCAUUUCCUUCGCUUCAUACCAAACAUCCAUAUAUCAAGCACCUUCAUAUCCAUUUCCCCCACCAACAUACAAUUAUCUCAUAUUAUCUUAUAAUCUUACUAACUCUCUUGCACAACCCGCGUAUCUUCAAAUUCCUCCAAAUACAUUAACUUAUCAAAAUCCACUAACGAAUCUACAACCCAAUAAAUUCAUCACACCUCAAGCCAAGCUUCAGAAAAAUCAAUCAAGACAGUACAUUCCUUUGGCUGAGCCUAUAGACCAACUUUAUGAGAAAUUAAAGGUAGAUAGUUACAUUACUCUAAUUCCUGCAAUUGUAAUGAAUAUAUGUGCAAAAUGGAUUGAUCAUUUCAAAGUUUGCGCUUAUCAUUCAAGGAUGACAGGCCACACCACAGAAGAAUGUCGUGCUUUAAAGGAUAAAAUUCAAGCACUUAUUGAUACCAAGGCAAUAAAUGUACUGAGGCCAUAUCUUAAUUAAGCAUUGGCAUUUAUCCAAUAUUAAGGAUGGGGUAUCACGUUGUUUCCUCAUUCCAAGCUCUCAAGCACUUGAGUUACUAUAAUCUUUACAUUUGCUUGGAACAAUAUGAAUUUCUUCUAUGUAAUUUGAACUAUAUUCGACCUGAUUCCCAUUUAAGAUGGAUACGUAGGCGCUCCUAUGGAGUUCGGUCUUAUCAUAAUGAAAUUUUCAUAUUCUCUUAAAGCAUGUAACUAGGGCAUAAUUUUUGAAAGGAUUUCAAAAAUUCUAUGAUUCUACAAGUUUAGGACGGACAAGACAUAUAACUGGGGUAGAAUUUUUGAGAGGGUCUAAAAAAUUCUAUCAAGAAGCAUUUCAAACAAAUUCAAGGAUAACAAGAUUAAGGCCAUGAAACUGGGGCAGAAAUUUUUGAGGAGUCCUAAAAAAUUUCAUCAAGGAUUGCAUCUCAAGAAAGCGAUAUAAAGACAAUGGAUCCAGGACCUGAAUAAAGGAACUGACAGAGACAUGAAUCAAUCUUUCCCCCCUUUUUUAAGACUAAUAAUUUUUUUUGAGCGCAGGAAUAGAGUGACGAGUACAAAUCUUGAGUAUGCUAUACACCAUUAGAAGAUAUAAGGUUAAGUAUUGUCGUCUUAUAUUCUGAGCGGGUGAAGCACUACCCUCUCGAGAGAAACUGUUUGAGGCUAAGCAUUAUCCUUGAAAAGUUAAUCGGGUUAAGCACUACCCUCUCUCAACAAGUUUAUAAAAAACUAAGCUUUGUUUCAAAAAUUUGAUGGAGUUAAGCACGACUCUAUCAAGAACUCUCUGAGGCUAAGCAUUGUCCUUGGAAAGUUAAGUAGGUUAAGCGCUACCCUUUUUCGAGAAACUGACUGAGGCUAAGCAUUGUCCUUGAAAGUUAGUUGGGUUAAGCACUCUCGAGAAAUUAUUCGAACUAAGCAUUGUUUUGAAAAUUCGAUGGAGUUAAGCAUGACUCUAUCAAGAACUCUUUAAUGUUAAGCAUUGUCCUUAGAAAGUUAAAUGGGUUAAGCACUACCCUCUUUUGAGAAACUGACUAAGGCUAAGCAUUGUCUUUGAAAGUUAGUUGGGUUAAGCACUACCCUUUCUCGAGAAAUCAUCUGAACUAAGCAUUGUUUUGAGAACUCAAUGGAGUUAAGGACUACUCUAUUAAAAACUCUCUAAGGCUAAGCAUUGUCCUUGGAAAUUUAAGUGGGUUAAGCACUACCCUUUUUCGAUAAAAACUCUCUAAGGCUACGCAUUGUCCUUGAAAAGUUAAGUGGGUUAAGUAUUACCCUGUUUCGAGAAACUGACUAAGGCUGAGCAUUGUCCUCGAAAGUUAGUUGGGUUAAGCACUACCCUCUCUCGAGAAAUCAUUCGAACUAAGCAUUAUUUUGAAAACUCGGUGGAGUUAAGCAUUACUCUAUAAAAACUCUCUAAGGCUGAGCAUUGUCCUUGGAAAGAUAAGUGGGUUAAGCACUACCCUCUUUCGAAAAAAAACACUAAGGCUGAGCAUUGUCCUUGGAAAGGUUUAAGCUCUACUCUCUCUCAAGAAAUUGUCCAAGACUAAGCAUUGUCCUCUUGGAGCCGAUCGAUUUACUCAAAGACGAACACUAUUUUCUAAUACUGAACAUGUUAAGCACAACCGACCUCGGCGUUAUUAAAUGCUACUGCAUUACUGGACAUGGUGUGGAUUAAGCACAACCUCUUCAAAGAACAAACCAUUACUCUCUCAUAACAGAUACACUUUUUUAUCUUCUCUUAUCAUUAUUGUUAUGGUUGUUUUUACUACAUUGUUCAAUCUUCUAUACAUACAUAUCCGUGCUAAUCAUUUUAUCCAGUUGAGCUAAAAAUGACAGGACUAAUAGGUACAGAUUACUCCAUCACGAGCAACCAAGAGCUUAUCCCAUGAUUCCACAGUGCAUUGAGAAGCCAAAGAGUUGAUUUCAUGAUACAACAAAUUCGCUUUCUUAUUAUCACACUCACUUUAUGUUAAUCGAUUGCUUAUCUUUUACAUGCCCUAACCUUUGUUAUCUAGUAUAUGAUAAAGUAGGCAGGUAAGGAAUAACAAAUAGAGAAUAAUUUCCAUUCCUGUUUUCAAAAUAUCACCUCAUCUAUUCAUCCAUCGAAUGAACUCAUCUUAAAAAUCACCUGCUUUUAGUUUGCACAUCCCCUCACAUCAUCAUUUCAAAACAUAUUCAUCCCAUCUUACCGACCUACAACAGCUUUGUUGAAUGUCCAUCCUUUAUCAUUUACACUUUUUAGGAAUAUUGUUCAUUCCUAAAUCCAGAACUACAAACAGCCUGAUUCUCAUAAAAUCGGAGAUAUGUAGGCAACUUGAAACCUAAGACUCGGCCAUACUUUUUUUUAAACUACCCCUAUACUUUCAUUCCAACAAACCCUCCUCUCGGUCGGACAAAAUUGGCUACUACAACAACUUUUGUUGCUCGAUAAUUCUUUCAUCAUUCUCAAGCAACGAAAUUAUUAUUAUUAUUAUUAUUAUUGUUAUUAUUAUUGUUGUUGUAACAUUUAUCAAAUAGCAACCAAUUUUAAUUUAUUUUGCCUAAUUUAUUUAAAUUUUAGCCUUUUCCAACUCAUAACACUCUUAGGCUAAUUUUAUCCAACUUAUUACAAUUCUAGCCAUAUUUAAUUCAAUUUUAAAAAUCUCAAUUUAUCUUCUUAUCCUUUUAAUCGCAGCCAUGGAUCAAGAUCGAUCCAACGGCUGAGAUCGCAUCCCCCUCUUUCCUUUUUAAACUCAAAACAAAAAAAACCUAAGGGCCCAUUCAGAAACCAUGGCUGCCACCGCCACUGGCCGGCGAAGCCCGGAGUACCACUUUUCACCUCCCUUCCUCCUCUCCGACGAACCCAUCGCCGCCGCCACCAUCUUCCACCAGCGCUGCCAACCCCAUCGCCGCCGCCGUCCUUUGUUUUUUCGGCGAACAACCAAUUAUGUGAAGCCACAGCCGAACCAGCCUCCUCCUUCCCCGUCGAGGCUCCAUAUCCGGCGACCACUGCACCAAGACGCUUAACCGCGCCACCAGAAGCCCUCAAAAACCUCCAGCCCGCCGCCGCAUCUCCCAACCUCGCCGGCAAAGGCUCUAACGAGCCAAUCAGCCCUCUCAUCUCCACGUCGAUGCUCGAUUUUCGCCGAAAAUAUUGUAAUUCAUGACGGAUUCGUCAAAUCCAUCUCAGGUUUGUUAUUUUGUUCAAAUUUCUUUCUUCUACUUCUUUAUUUAUUUUCUCUUCGGAUCGAUCUUAUUAAACUUAAUAUGAAUAUGAAUUUUGAGUUGUUUUAAUGUGUUCAUGUUUUCAGACCAACAUCCAUGAAAAAUUCAUAACUUUUGUGGAUUUUUAAGG